rnacentral:rRNA from 1 species
AGAGUUGAGUCCUGGCUCAGGACGAACGCUGGCGGCGUGCUUAACACAUGCAAGUCGAACGCUGAAGCUUGGUGCUUGCACUGGGUGGAUGAGUGGCGAACGGGUGAGUAAUACGUGAGUAACCUGCCCUUGACUCUGGGAUAAGCCUGGGGAAACUGGGUCUAAUACUGGAUAUGACCUCCUGUCGCAUGGUGAGGGGUGGAAAGGGUUUGUACUGGUUGUGGAUGGGCUCACGGCCUAUCAGCUUGUUGGUGGGGUAAUGGCCUACCAAGGCGACGACGGGUAGCCGGCCUGAGAGGGUGACCGGCCACACUGGGACUGAGACACGGCCCAGACUCCUACGGGAGGCAGCAGUGGGGAAUAUUGCACAAUGGGCGCAAGCCUGAUGCAGCGACGCCGCGUGAGGGAUGACGGCCUUCGGGUUGUAAACCUCUUUCAGCACGGAAAAAGCGAAAGUGACGGUACGUGCAGAAGAAGCGCCGGCUAACUACGUG